rnacentral:rRNA from 1 species
GACGAACGCUGGCGGCGUGCUUAACACAUGCAAGUCGAACGGAAAGGCCCUGCUUUUGUGGGGUGCUCGAGUGGCGAACGGGUGAGUAACACGUGAGUAACCUGCCCUUGACUUUGGGAUAACUUCAGGAAGCUGGGGCUAAUACCGGAUAGGAGCUCCUGCUGCAUGGUGGGGGUUGGAAAGUUUCGGCGGUUGGGGAUGGACUCGCGGCUUAUCAGCUUGUUGGUGGGGUAGUGGCUUACCAAGGCUUUGACGGGUAGCCGGCCUGAGAGGGUGACCGGCCACAUUGGGACUGAGAUACGGCCCAGACUCGUACGGGAGGCAGCAGUGGGGAAUAGUGCACAAUGGGCGGAAGCCUGAUGCAGCAACGCCGCGUGCGGGAUGACGGCCUUCGGUUUGUAAACCGCUUUCGCCUGUGACGAAGCGUGAGUGACGGUAAUGGGUAAAGAAGCACCGGCUAACUACGUG